rnacentral:snoRNA from 1 species
AAAAGCAUGAUGAUGUUUGUUUCUACUAUAUCGCGACGGUCUUCUGACAUUUCUGGAGAGGGUAGAACUUACUGAUUUC